rnacentral:lncRNA from 1 species
AUUUCUGUCACAUUGCGAGCUAUGGAUCCAACCUAGGACUGCCUUCCUACCCUGUCUCUGGCCCUUCUUCCACCUUCAGUUUCACCUGCAGACUAACGGGUGCCAUUUGGUGACAAAAGUAUCUGGACAUCACAGCCAAGGUAGCAAGAGUUCUCUUGAGGAAGCCUGGGAUAAAGUGCAGUGACCACGUUGACUGAGAAAUUCGAAGAGUCAACAGCCCUGAAGGGAU